GACGAACGCUGGCGGCGUGCUUAACACAUGCAAGUCGAACGGUAAGGCCCUUCGGGGUACACGAGUGGCGAACGGGUGAGUAACACGUGGGUGAUCUGCCCUGCACUUCGGGAUAAGCCUGGGAAACUGGGUCUAAUACCGGAUAGGACUCCGGACUGCAUGGUCUGGGGUGGAAAGCUUUUGCGGUGGGGGAUGGGCCCGCGGCCUAUCAGCUUGUUGGUGGGGUGAUGGCCUACCAAGGGGACGACGGGUAGCCGGCCUGAGAGGGUGACCGGCCACACUGGGACUGAGAUACGGCCCAGACUCCUACGGGAGGCAGCAGUGGGGAAUAUUGCACAAUGGGCGCAAGCCUGAUGCAGCGACGCCGCGUGAGGGAUGACGGCCUUCGGGUUGUAAACCUCUUUCAGCACAGACGAAGCGCAAGUGACGGUAUGUGCAGAAGAAGGACCGGCCAACUACGUGCCAGCCGCCGCAGUAA
rnacentral:rRNA from 1 species